CCCGGCGAAUUUAAGCAUAUUACUAACCGGAGGAAAAGAAACCAACAGGGACGUCCUCAGUAGCGGCGAGCGAAGCGGACGAUGCCCAAACCGAACCGCGGUUCCCGAGGGGGCCGCGGAGUGUGGAGAGGAUGAGCUCGCGAGGGGGCGGGACGGGUUCCAAUCCGUCUGGAAGGGCGGAGGCACGGAGGGCGAUUCCCCGUACGUGCUCGGUCCGUCCCCGACGAGCGAACGCAUCGGAGAGUCGGGCCGCUUGAGAGUGCAGCCCGAAUGGGGUGAUAGGUCUCAUCCAAGGCUAAGUACGUGGGAGACGCCGAUAGCGAACAAGUACGGCGACGGAAAGGUGAAAAGAACCUCGAAAGGGGGUCAAAAGCGCUCGAAAUCGUAGAGGGGGAAGCGGACCUGACCGACGAGACCUCGUCGUCGCUCGCGCUCGACCCACGCUUCGUCGCGGAGUUCCGGAGGGCGUCG
rnacentral:rRNA from 1 species